CCUACGGGUGGCUGCAGUGAGGAAUAUUGGUCAAUGGGCGCAAGUCUGAACCAGCCAUGUAGCGUGCAGGAUGACUGCCCUACGGGUUGUAAACUUCUUUUGUAAAAGAAUAAACUGAGGCACGUGUGCCUGUUUGUAUGUACUUUAUGAAUAAGGAUCGGCUAACUCCGUGCCAGCAGCCGCGGUAAUACGGAGGAUUCGAGCGUUAUCCGGAUUUAUUGGGUUUAAAGGGAGCGUAGAUGGGUUGUUAAGUCAGUUGUGAAAGUUCGCGGCUCAACCUUAAAAUUGCCAUUGAUACUGGCAGGCUUGAGUAUAGUUGAGGUAGGCGGAAUGCGUGGUGUAGCGGUGAAAUGCUUAGAUAUCACAAAGAACUCCGAUUGCGAAGGCAGCUUACUAAGCUGCCACUGACAUUGAGGCACGAAAGUGUGGGUAUCAAACAGGAUUAGAUACCCCGGUAGUC
rnacentral:rRNA from 1 species